UUUCAGAGAAGAGGCAGACAGCUGGUGGAACUCCAGAUGUAAAGACAUUUUCCCAUUUAAAUAUCUUAAGCAGUUGACUUCGCAAGGAAGAAGACCAGCUAUGAAAAGACAGAAAGAUGUGUUUUGUUAGACAAUAGCAAAGAUUUUGCCAAUGUUAAUUUUUCUUCUUAAUCUUUAAAUGUUGUGUGGAGAUUUUUGCUUCAACAAGCACAGCGCCUUUGAGAAAGAAGAAAAUACUCCUCUUAAGGAGCUGCUUGGUGUAACACCCCAUGGAAAGAGAAUUUGAUCUGCUGGCAGAUUCAAUGAAGCUUGAGAGUCAUAGGCUGAAUACCUCUGGUCAGACAUCAACAUGCUUUAUUGAUGCAGUAACUCCCUUGGGCAUAGGAUAUAUUUUAUCCUGCUGCACCAGAAAAUCCAAGGUCCAGGUGGCAGAAGAGAACCAAGUCACCACCCAGGCCAAUAAAGCCACGUAUCAAGGCAACAAGCAGAACCUGGGAGAAACUGCAGCUAUCACACCAGCCACACCCCAAGCUGUGAGACAAAGCUUUAUGCUCCUCUCUUUGCAAUAUCUCCACCAUUCAGCUCACAGAAAAGUUCUCUACCAAGUUUAGGAUGAGAAAGGGUUCUUUCCAUCUAUCUAGUGAUAUGUAAUACAAGUACAUGAGUUGUACUGUGCAAAAUCUUUCAGUUUGUGGUCUUAUCAGAAGACUCAAAGCUAUGCCAUCUCAGCCAACUUUAACCUCACCAAUAGCUAAAGUCACAACAUGCUCUUUAACACUCUAGAGAGUGACUGGGCAUUUAGAUUUGACAGUAUGGUACUGUGAAAGACAUGUAUCACCUCUAAAAUCUGAGAUGAUAAACAAAUGCUAACAACUAUGUCAUCAGCUCCAACUAAACACUGCUAUUUAUUUAUUUAUUUAUUUAUUUAUUUAUUUAUUUAUCUGGGGGGAGGGCGGGGGGGGGGGGGGGGAGAUGAGAGGGGGCUGGUGGGCACUCAAAGGCUGCUCUGAUUCAUCUAGGAUUCAUCAUCUGCAAAGGCACCAUAGCCAUGCACUCCAUCCAUGCUGACAGGCUGUGUGACACCUUUUCCCAUUGCUACGGUAGAAGGGAUGUUUGCUUGGAAAAUACAUGUACCCUUUUUGAUCACUAAAACAACUUUAUGCGUGGCCCAGAUACAGCACUUAAAUCGUUUUCAGACUGCAGCUUUUUGCCUACUCUUGGAAAACAGCUUUUUAAGAUGACUAUAAACAACCAAUUUUGAUGCCUUUUGGUUGCUAAAAUAGUAUUCUCCAAGCCACAAAUACAAUAAUGCUGUUUUGCCUUCCUCUUCAUGUUGAAACUGGAAAUACUGCUUUAUCAUCUAUGGGCUGGAAGUAGCUCAUUAAAUUACAGUGGACCUGUCUCAGAAUCUGUCUUGCUUUGGCCUUGUUGUUUGUUGGCUCUAGAAAUGCAUAGACCUGUCUAAGUGUAUGAAAGAGACAAAAACUUUUAGCAGCUUGUUCGCCUAUUAAAUCUGUCAGAAUCAUGGAAUGACUUCUGCUGGAAGUCAUACCUCCAAUAGGAGGCUGUUGGAAGCAGGACCACGUGGAGCAGCUUGAUUAGGGCCUUCUCCAAACAAAACUUGAGAAUCUCUGGGGAUAAAGACUCACUGGCUCUUUGGAAACCUGUUCCUGUGUCCAGCUACCCUUGGGAUGAUAAAUGCUCCAGAACAUUUUCAAGUUAACUUAUUUAGCCCAUUAGUAAAACAAUUCAAACAGAAUAAUAUCUUUUAGAAGUUACACCAAGGUUAACUGUUGGCUUACUCUCAGCAAGUGUACUUCAAAGGCUGUAUUAGUGUUUGGUAGCUUGAUUGUCUUAGGAUUUGAGUGUGGUCUAAGGCAAUGGGGAUUUAGGGAGGUGGGUAAGAAAGUUUUCAGAUACAGACAUCUGAUACUCCUCCCCACCCCCCAAAAAAAUAAAAAUAAAAUAAAAUAAAAGGAUGGGAAAGAU
rnacentral:lncRNA from 1 species